rnacentral:rRNA from 1 species
GACGAACGCUGGCGGCGUGCUUAACACAUGCAAGUCGAACGAUGAAGCGCGGGCUUUCACUCGUGGAUUAGUGGCGAACGGGCGAGUAACACGUGAGUAACCUGCCCUUUUCUUUGGGAUAACUGCUGGAAACGGCUGCUAAUACUGGAUAUUCACUCUUCAUCGCAUGGGGUGGUUUGGAAAUGUUUUUUCUGGGGUUGGGUGGGCUUGCGGCUUAUCUGGUUGGUGGGGGGGUGAUGGCUUACCAAGGCGUUGACGGGUGGCCGGACGGAGAGGGUGGCUGGUCGCGCUAGGACCGACAUAGGGCCCAGACUCCGACGGGGAGUAGCAGUGGGGACAAUUGUACAAUGGACGAAAGUAUGAUGCAGAGACGGAGCGUGGAGGGUGGCGUCCUUCGGGUUGGGAACUGCGUUUUCACCCGCAAAAGCCACAGAUUUGGCUGUGUUGACGGUAGUGGGGGAAGAAGCGCCGGCUAACUACGUG